rnacentral:rRNA from 1 species
UACGUAGGUGGCAAGCGUUGUCCGGAUUUAUUGGGUUUAAAGGGUGCGUAGGCGGUCUAUUAAGUCAGUGGUGAAAUACUCCAGCUUAACUGGAGGGGUGCCAUUGAUACUGAUGGACUUGAGUCAAGUCGAGGUAGGCGGAAUUGACGGUGUAGCGGUGAAAUGCUUAGAUAUCGUCAAGAACACCAAUAGCGAAGACAGCUUACUGGGCUUAAACUGACGCUGAGGCACGAAAGUGUGGGGAUCAAACAGG